rnacentral:rRNA from 1 species
UACGUAGGAUGCAAGCGUUGUCCGGAAUUAUUGGGCGUAAAGAGCGCGCAGGCGGUUUGCCAAGUCAGAUGUGAAAGAGGCCGGCUUAACCGGCAAGGGUCAUUUGAAACUGACAGACUAGAGUGCAGCAGAGGAUAGCGGAAUUCCCGGCGUAGUGGUGAAAUGCGUAGAUAUCGGGAGGAACACCAGUGGCGAAGGCGGCGACCUGGACGGACAUUGACGCUGAGACGCGAAAGCGUGGGGAGCAAACAGG